UACACGUAUGACAGAAAUUUAGCCCUGUUGCUCUGUUGUUUCAGUUGGUUCAGCUGUGUAUGAAAACAGAAACUGGUGGCAUGGAUUCAACUGCCAAUCCCUUUGACAGUGAAAUAAAUCAGCGUUCCCAUGACCCUCUGCCAGUGUACACACCUCAAAAUUCAGUGACGCAGGACCCAGGGUCCAUCCCAGUCAUUACUGGAGACAUGCCUAAGAAGAACAGGACAGGGUUCUAUGCUGUGAACCCCUGAGAUUCUCUGGAUGAAAAUGCACCAUCAUGCUACAGACCUGUCAGAGCUCGACACUCCCACUGAACCAGAUCUAUGCUGGUCCUUUGAGCCAGACUGCAGUGAGCAGAGGCAGAGUGAAGAAACAUGAACCCCAUCAGCAGUGGAAAACAGCGUGGAUAGUGUACAGCAUGGAUUAACUAAUAUCAACAGAUGCUAUUUAUUACACAGUUGUUUUCAGUGGCAACAUAAGUUAAUAUAUAUGUCAAUAUAGACUAUGAUAACAUUAUUUAUCUACAUAGCUAUUGUUUAAUGCAAACCAGUGAUAAUUUGCUGAGCUUUUUCUUGAAUAAUGUCUAGUAAUGUAUGCUUUUAGGAACACUAAUCUAAGAUAUAAAAAAAAUAGUAAAGUAAUUCUGUCUAUAAUCUGAUUAAAGGGAUAUGGUCUUGUUUAUGCAUGUGUGGUCUUUUGUGUAAUUCUUGUGUAUUUCUGCCUUUCAUACA